GAUGAACGCUAGCGGCAGGCCUAACACAUGCAAGUCGAGGGGUAACAGGGGAAAGCUUGCUUUCCCGCUGACGACCGGCGAACGGGUGCGUAACACGUAUGUAAUCUGCCUCUUACAGGGGGAUAGCCCAGAGAAAUCUGGAUUAAUACCCCAUAAUAUCAUUGGAUCGCCUGAUUUGAUGAUUAAAGAAUUUCGGUAAGAGAUGAGCAUGCGUCCGAUUAGCUAGUUGGUGAGGUAACGGCUCACCAAGGCUACGAUCGGUAGGGGUUCUGAGAGGAUGAUCCCCCACACUGGUACUGAGACACGGACCAGACUCCUACGGGUGGCAG
rnacentral:rRNA from 1 species